CGUCAGCGAGGGAUGCGGAGCCGGAGCUCGAACGCGCGCGGGGCGCUGCGGUUCUACCUGGCUCGUGCGGGGCCGUUGGAGCCUCUCCCGGGCCGGAGAAGGGUGUGUGACUGAGAUCAGGGCUCUUAUCGCACUGAGCGUGGCCCUGUUCUGCCAGGCGCUGCAGAGACCCCAGCUGCUGCAGAGACCCCAACUGAGGUCUGGGCCCUGUUCUGGCAGGCGCUGCAGAGACCCCAACUGAGGUCUGGGCCCUGUUCCGCCAGGCGAUGAAGAGACCACAGGCUACAGAAUAACGUCCACGUUUUGCUCCAGAUCAUCCCCUCCUCCCAGGGGGAAGGAAAUGUCUGCAAUGGAGCUGGCUCAGGUCAUUGAUAAGAAUGUCAAAUAGCACAGGACCAAGAACAAUCCUUGCGGGAACCCGCUAGAAAGAAAUCCACUCGACCAUGGUUCCCUAUUUAAAAUCCCUGCUUUUAAGCUAUUUAAUGUAUGCUGUGUGUAUUUUGUAUUUUUCUAGUCAAAAUAUCGUGCUGAACCAACCCAUAUCCCUUACAGAAGUCUAGGUAUAUUACAUCAGUACUAUUAGCUGCAACCAAACUUUUGAUCUCAUCCAAUAAGAGUAUCCAGUUAGGUUGAUAGGAUCUAUUGCAGUGAUCCCCAACCUUUUUGUGGCCAGUAGCACAUUCAUGUUUUCAGAAGAGUGUGGCGGGCGCCAACAAUUACUCACAUA